GUUUGCAAGUGACUGAGACCCUCAGGAUUUGUCAGUUGCGAGCAACGCUGCUAUAAGCCUUCCUGUGCAGGCUUCUGUGUGGGCAUCAGUUCUGGACUCCUUUGGACUGCUGAUCCUGAGUGUUUACUGAAAAAACCGUGGUUGUCAAACCUUUGUGCUCGUGAUCAUCACCUAAGAGCACCUGGUUACACCUAGAGGGACUCUGGAU